CUGGAGCCAUUGCAGGAAUUGUUAUUGGGUGUUUAGUAUGUGUUUCUUUAAUUGCUCUUGGAGUGUACUUCAUACUUAAAAAAAAAAAAUCUCGGGGGAAAACCUCAAACAGAAAUAUUUCAACAGGUGGGAACAGACGAGAUAAUGGUGUAAGCAGUAAUGAGGAGCUGAACUAUGCAGAUGUUAGGUUUGCAAAGAACAAGAAAAAUGUGCAACCUCAGUGGGAAUUAGACAACCCCUCAUCAACCUACGCUGACAUCAGGGUCAACAGAAACUAAAGCACUCUUCCCUCUCUGCCCACAUGCAGCUGAAACCAAACAGACUGACUGCCUGGCUUUAACUAAAUCCUGCUAAAACUUGACAUUUCUUUAAGCAAAAGCCAACGAUGACAGAGCUGGCUGAUGCUCGUCAAAGAGAUGAGAUUGUUGGUUUGCCUUAGCAAAAUUUGUUUACUUCAUUCUGGCACGUUAGUAUUUAAUAAUUAACUAAACUCAGCUCUUACUGGCAGCAGAAAGCAGAAGGCAGAAUAUUUCCCCCUUUUCAUUUUAUGACUUUCGUAAAUCCAAAGAGCAGCAAUCUUCUCUUUAUGGCUUAAUUAUUUCCUUUAGUACGAAUCUGGUCAAUAUUAUAAUGCAAAAUGUUAUUCCUGAAAWGUGUAGUGUGUUCCUAGACAAAAUUAAAGUUUAUACAUAUAUAGAUUCAGAGURAAUAUAGAUAUAAUAAAAUCAUCAAGAUUAAAAUUUUCAUGGUUCCAGUCUGAAUUUAGCRUAUCUUGUUAAUUUGUCAUUACAAUUUUGGAUAAUACUAAUCUUGYGAUAGUGCAAAGUUAUUGCAAGAUAUCUUUGCAGCCACAUUCAGUUUCCAAUGUGACUGAAUGUGSCUGCAGCUAAARAAGYUGCAGCCACAUUCAKUUUACAGUAGAUGCCAGAWUUUGCACUGAUUAAAAAGAAAUCCUCCAAUGUUUAGGAGUGCAACGACACACAAAAGUCACGGUCUGGUUCAAUUUUAGUAGACUUUAAUCAAUACUUUAAGUAUUAAUAUGUGCACCAUUACACCCCUAGUAACAGAAAAGGUCUAGAAUGGGGAUGUUAAACAUUACUUAUCCAGUCAGGUUACUGUAAUAAUUGACUUUUCUGGAAGCAGAAGUGCAAAUUUUAUUUUGAGAAGCUCAAGCAAAAUAUCAAAUAUCAUCUG